AGAGUUAUUCCAGCUGAGGAGCAAGGGAGCUGGGGCAUUUAUACACCAACUCCCAUCAGUCAUAUUUGCAGCUGCUUCCAAAUGUUAAUAUUCUAGCAUGUCUUGCCUGCCAACCACACAAGCACAAAAACCAUUCAAGGUGCUGGAGAAACCCCUCAGACAACCAGAUGAACAUUCAGAAUUUAACUCUGUGGGUGGGGCACAUACGGCAUCUGUUACAGAUCUACCAAACUGACCAAAAAGGAAAGGACUGACAACAUUAAGUGUUGGUGUGGAUUUGGAGCAGCAGGAAUGCUCAAACUGUACUGGGGAAGUUGUGACUACAGCAACCUUGGAAAAAAACUGGCAUCUUUUAGGAUAAUCAUAAGAUGCUCAUACAAAAACAAAAACAAACAGACAAAAACUAGCACUUUCACUCCUAGGUGGCAUCCCUGAGUCCUGAUGCCUGACUGGA
rnacentral:sRNA from 1 species